rnacentral:rRNA from 1 species
UACAGGGGGGGCAAGCGUUGCUCGGAAUUACUGGGCGUAAAGGGCUCGUAGGUGGCCAACUAAGUCAGACGUGAAAUCCCUCAGCUUAACUGGGGAACUGCGUCUGAUACUGGAUGGCUUGAGUUUGGGAGAGGGAUGCGGAAUUCCAGGUGUAGCGGUGAAAUGCGUAGAUAUCUGGAGGAACACCGGUGGCGAAGGCGGCAUCCUGGACCAACACUGACACUGAGGAGCGAAAGCCAGGGGAGCAAACGGG